UGACGCUGCUAUUGAAAAAGGCCAGCCAGUGAGCAAAGGGAUAGAUAUAAAUGUGGAUGAUCUGCAACUGGACGUCUGAAAGCAUGACGGCAGAAGGACACAUGGUUGCGAUGGCCAGAAUCCAGAUGACGGCUAUGAUGAUGACUGCAGUUGAAAUGGUCAUCUUCUGCUUGAACGGAUGAACAAUGCAGCGAAACCUGCAGCAAAGAUACCCGGCGACAUACGUAGAGAAGCUGUUUAAGGAACGCUUACUCAAACAGGCAAGCCGUCCACCGAGUCUUCCUGAACAAAUAACCCUGUACUGGGAGAAUCCCUGCUUCAAGACGGGCAGUGUGGAGGUCAGCAAGGACAGCCCCAGGCAGAAGAACAAUAAAGCAAACUACUCCAUUGCCAACCAUGCAGAGCAGGAAGAUGAGGAGAUAGGAGACGAUGAAGACAGCUG
rnacentral:lncRNA from 1 species